ACCGUCAAGAAAACGACAAAGAAAAGGCCUUGCUCCAGCUGACACUCAGACUGCUUCCCCUUCUGCGGAAAAUGCUACACAUAGUCCUGCUGCCACAGAGUUAGUCCAAACUAUUGUCAACAUCAACUACUGGGCCACAGAGAACGCCAACAACAUGUGCAAAGUCAAUGUUGAUCGACAAUAGCUUAACAUGUUCACCACAUGCACCCAGAUCAAUCACCACGGCCACAUCACCGAUACAUCAAUACUCCAAUUCAGUUACAAUGAACAAUAUUCCUUACGACAUUACUGAAGAACAACCCAACACUUCGACAGCCAUUCCACCUACCACAAGUGCCACAUUAGGUAACAAUCCUACUACAGACAUUGGUCAUGACCAAGGUGGAAAAAGAACCUGCGGAUACUUUUGUGAGUGACAGUUCUGUGAUGACACUAAUUAGACUGGAACGACACCAGUUGAUUAUGAGGUAUGGUGCUGGAAUGAAAUGGCUCAUUUGAUGAGGGGGAUGCUCCUGCAAAUUGCAAAGCAAUGGACGAUGCAGACUGUAUGACACCCACCAAUGGCAGAGGUCAGUGUGGGCCCCAGGUCAUGUGUCUGUGAAGGCUCUUGGCUGAGUAUAGUGGUCUGCUCCAUGGCCAAUUAUGAUGACUCCGGUGUGGCAAUUGGGUUCGUCACCUGCGACGUAUGUGGUACCACAUGUGGUGGUAAGGUAGCGUGUGGUUCCUUCAUCUGUGAAGAUGUUGAAGGGCCUGGUGUGGAAAUGUUGUGUUGUUGACCUUGACGGGGCUGGGUUUCACGAUGAAAUUGAAGACGAGCUUCUACAAUACCUGCAUUGAAAGCCUCUAAUCAUGCCUUCCAACUGAACGGAAUAUUGAUUAAAAUAUGCCGGAUCUUCAACCCGUGAUGAUACAUCUGUGGUAGUGGCCCACGGUGGCCGGUAAAGUCCGAGUUGAUGGAGGAGCAUAUGGGUUUGCGACAGCCGCCCGUCUCCUUGGAGUGACCUCCUUUGAGCUCCUCUUUUUUGGAGCCAUAGCCUACAAUCAAAAACAAUACAGAGCGCAGAAAACUAGAACAUAGAACUGUUGAACAACCAUAAAUACAUGAACACCAAGGGGUAAAUUGCUUUUUUAUAUGUAUAUUCAGUUAACCCCAUAGGAGUCACCCAAAAGGGGUGCCCAGACAAGGGUCACACCGUUAUUUUCGUAUCACUAGUGCACGGCCGAUUUUACACCUUCAUAUAGAAAAGGAAGUAUGGCGUUUAUGUAAACUGCAAGCAGUAAACAUGAUCAACCGACACCUGGGACCCAAUACUAGUUCAAACAUUAUUAUGACAAUGUAUUUUGUAAAAAAAUAUAUGAACAC